ACGUGUGGUUAUAUUGAACUAAGCUCAAAUUAGAGUUUAGUUCUGACCUUCGAUAUACUCAGAGUUGCUGCUGCCAACAAUGAGAGCCAAGCAUAUGCAGCCAAGGCUGAGUGUUUGGCCUUUGGUCAGAAUACGUAUUAGGUUUGGCUUUUCUCUACAUGUAGAAAAUACGUCAGAAACAUAGUUCGUUUUAAAUUUGAUUUUCUUUCCUUUUGUUCAUCUGAAGUGAGGUAUCUGUUCCCAUCAUCCGACCCCAAGUGAAAAUCACAAAGCUAGCUUCUGAUUUUGCAAACUGUAGUUCUCCAAACUGCCAGAACGCUUGCAUCAAUGAUGAGGACAUGUCACCUUACCCUGUUGACACAAAGAUAUGCUUUGCAGCACAGCCCAGGGGUGACAAAGGUUACCUUGCCUGUCUGCUUCACAAGCAGAAGUAUUACAUCGGUUCUUACUGGAAAUGCCCCCUAGACAUAAAAAAUCAUGUUUUAGCUUGUAACUAGGUAUGUUUAUACAGGAACUGUUAAAAUAAUUUAUUUUAAUAACAUAUUUAAACCUACCAUCUUGCACAAUGAGAAAAAGCUGAAAACAGCCAAAAAUAAUAUUCGUUUGAAAGGCCUCAACAGAACUGGCCAACUACUUUUAGCACUUAUUUUAGUAUCAUUCCAACAGAGUGCACAAAAUGUUGAAGGUGAGGCAGAGUUUCCUCAUUCCGGUUCCAGUCAAAGACAUGGCAAGAAGCUUCCUGCACUGGGAGCUUACACUGUAUGAAGACAAAAACAGGAAGAGUUUUUAGGUAAAGGAAAUAUUACUACACAGUUUCUGAGGCAAAAACCUUAGGCAAAAAAGAAAAAAUUAUUUGCUCAAAGCUACCAGAGGUUAUAGUGUUCUGAGGAACUGUGCUCACUGCUCCUGGACAAGGCAACUGAGAAUUUUUCUGCUCCAAUUUGCUUAGGGUAAUAUUUAACAUUGCGCAUGGCAGAAUACGAAUGCACAUAAUAACAAAUCAAAGUAGCUCAUAUCAGCAGGCGGUUUAUAUGUACAUAUAGUGUGUAGGUGUCUCCCAUCAUGCAAGCUGACCAGAUGGAUAACCUGGAUCAAACUUUUAGGUACUGGGACAGAAACAGGGAAGAGAGGAAUCAACUUUACUGGCAAAAAGAGAUUAUGAGGAUUUAGAUGAAGUCCUAAGACAGCCUUGCUCACCUGACCACAGCUGCUGCUGGGGUGAAAGCAGCACAGAAUAGGUCUACUUAAAAUAUUCUUAUGCUUCUGACAGAGACCAUGUUAUGUUGAUAGAAUAGGUAUGCAUUUCUGAAGCCAUUUUCUGCAGUUUACUAUGAAUAUUUAAGGCUGUUUUACUAAAUUUGGUAGUGUGUUUCUGAUGUUAAAUAGUCCUUUCCUGCAGCAACCUGGGAAUCAGCUUUCGGAAGAGGCUGAAUUAAAAAAAAGGAAAAAGUGAAAAUUGAAUUUGAAAGAAUGUUGAUGCCUGUAUCUAAGUAUUCAGGCAUGCUAUAACAAUUGCAAAAAUUAUAUGAACUGGACAGAAGACCAUCAUUUCAGGAAGAUGAGAACUAUCACUGGGAGACCUUAGACUUGAUGUGCUGAAAGAGUGAAAUGAUAUAGCGAAACAAUGGAGGAGUUUCAUGAAGGUGUUUGUCUUCCACAUGGCUGACGGCUGAAUUCUGUUCAAAAAGCAUGACUAAGGCUGCAAUAGGUACAAAGCCAAGUUUCCCCUUGGAUUCUCCCUCCUGCUGUGCUUCAUGUGGCUGGCAGAGUUCUGCCAUUGUGGAACAGAGAUUGCUGGAAAUAAAUUCUUCUUAAGCAGACAGGCUUUUGUUCAGUUUUGACUCCAGGCUCCCAGCCCAAAGUCUUGAGCAAUCUGCACUGGGAAAGCUCUGUGCAUCCGUGGUAAGGCUCUUUUUUAGAGGCUUCUAAUCUGAGGAAUUUGUGGCAAAGAGAACCAUUUUCUGAAAGGCUGCGUUCUGGGCAGAUCUUCAUUAUCAGCCUUGUCCUAGCAUAUUCUCUGAGAUUUCCAUCAUCUUAGGCUUUGGAUUUAGAUGCAGAUAAGCUCAUUUUUAGGUUUCCAUACCUGCAUUUAUGUGAACUAGUUGCAGAACAAAUCAGGGAGGCAUACAGUAUUCUUGUACCUCUUGCCUAUUAAUUAAUUCUUCACAUUUUUCUAUACAAGUGGGUGAAAGAAAUGCUGUGUGCACACAUUUUUCUCUUUCUGAAAAAGAAACACAAGAUUCAACAGCUUAUUUUCUGUCACAGCCACAACUUCAUUCAUCAUGUGAAAUCUCAGGUUGCUCUGUGCUCUAAAAUAGUCAGCACGUUACUCAUCUUCUUGCGAGCGAAUAAUUUUGUGGGGUUUCCUGCUCCUUUCCUAUUUCUCUUGUUAUUACUUCCAGAUGACAGCGUCUGUAAUGUUGUUGUACAACUCUACAAACCGAGGCACUUUUUAGAACCAAGAUUUUUUGGACACACUCAUAUCAGCAUGAUGUUUGUGAAACAUUUUAUGUAACUGUCCAAAGAGCGUCCCUCUCUCAUUUUCUUAGUGACAAUGGUAGACAACCCUUCAGUCUGUCAGCAGUUAGAAGCCAUCAUCUUUCACCCAAAUUUUGAGCAUUUCUAGCCAGUCUUCACCUGCCAGCUAUAUUUGUUGAAUGCUUGGUGAAUCAUAUAAAAAUUGUAUAAGCCUGAAUUCAUCUGCAAUAUGCACUUUACAGACCCUUCACUUCUUUUACAGCUAAAAGGAGAAGAAUGACUGUAAAGAGUUGCCAUUUUUCUUCAUCUGAUUGUAAGUCCUAAAUGCACAUUCAUGCGGCUGUAUCCUAUUCUACAGAAUGGCAAGGCAAUUUUACAAUUGCUGUGAGCUCCUAGGUAGCAGGUUCUGCUGUUCUUAUUUUCAAUCACACCUAAGGUGUUUGAUUUUUCCCUUAAUCUGCUUUUCCUAUUCUCAUUCCACCUCAAGCAAUUCACUUAAUUCUCUUUCCUGUGUUAUCUACACAUGACACUACUACGUGGGUUUUUUUUCCUGGAUUUAUUUAAUGGAUGAUCUUGUCCUAGAUUUCACCUGAGACAAAUUGCCAUAUCCAGGCUUGGACUCCUAUUUUUAAACACCUUGACAAUAUAUUGCUUUUCUAGAUAUGUCCAUUUUCUGAAAGCAAGCCUGAAGGUACCGGUACGUCAAACAUCUUAAAAGCAACAGAGCAUACACAACAAAUGAGAAAAGCCACAAAACAAAAUCCCAGCUGAUUCAAAGCAUAUCUGAUUAUUUUUCUUUCCAAGAUACUAAUAACACUGCUGCUGUAUUGGCUAUAUCCAAGAUGAAAUGUAGAAACUCGCAUUGGAUUGGAAUAUUGAAGAUACCCAAGAUACUGAUGUUUGUCUGAUAUAUUUUAAUACUCCGUAUCUCGUGUUCUUUUAUCCAGGAUUAAGAGAGAUGAGGUUUGAACAAGCAUACUACACUUGGGUAGUAACAUAGUGUACCAGAUUGGUAUACUUAUUCACUCACAUGAAAUUCUGUAUUGCAUCCCUCAAGGAAAUAUUAAGAGUAGCAUAUUUAUUAGAGAGACAGUCAUCCUAAAAGCUUUAUUUGUUCAAUUGACGGCUGCUUAAACACUUAUAACGUAUAAUAAUUUAUAAUUAAUGAUUAAACACUUCUGUCAUGCUGUCAUGCUGGUUACAGCAUGACAGAAGGUAACAGACCAACGUAUUCAUUUCCCACUUCCUAGCCAUAUACUGAGCACGAACAGCUAGGAUUACUAUGAAUGGGGAAGAACCAGUUAGGUAUGUAACAGAAAAGAAAAAUACAAAGAAUUAUUUUUUGCAUAAAGGUGCUCUUAGCCCUUUAAUACCUGUUCAUUCCUUAUGAAGCCACAAUAUUUUUUAAAGUGCUUUAACUGAAACAGUUUCUGGAGAAAGAAUUAUAUCUUUUAUUAGACUGACUACAUACAGUUGUAAAGAGUCAGCUAUUUUUAUUAGUUGCUGUCAUGGUUUAACCCCAGCCAGUAACUAAGCCCACACAGCCAUUUGCUCACUUCCCCCCAUCCUCCCCAGAAGGAUGGGGGAGAGAACUGGAAGAGUGUAAGUGAGAAAACUCAUGGGUUGAGAUAAAGGCAGUUUAAAGGGUAAAGCAAAAGCCGUGCACGCAAGCAAAGCAAAACAAGGAAUUCAUUCACCACUUCCCAUGGGCAGGCCGGUGUUCAGCCAUCUCCAGGACAGCACAGCUCCAUCACACAUAAUGGUUACUUGGAAAAACAAACGCCAUCAAUCCCAAUGUCCCACCAUUCCUCUUCUUCCCCAGCUUCAUAUGCUGCUCAUGGCACCAUAUGGUGUGGGAUACCCCUUUGGUCAGUUGGGGUCAGCUGUCCUGGCUGUGU